CCAAGGGAGACGAGGAAGAAGGAAGAAGGGUUUCAAAAAGGGGGUUUUUAAGGAAGAUGAAGAGAUGAGAAAAUCAAUAAGAUGGAAUUUAUAGUGGUUCAACAUAUAACCUACAUCCACUCUUCAAGGAAAAAUUUCUUUUAUUCAACAUUCAGUGCGAAAGUAAAUUCAAGGCAGUGUGAACCCAUUUUUCAUAUUACAUCUACAUGGAUUUAUUCUAUGUAUUUUUUCUUUGAGGCUACAAGACUAUUAUUAGUUAUUUUAUUGAAACAAAAUAACUUCCUCUUCUAAUAAAGUAUAGUUGUAACUAAUUAUUUCUCUUCUCUAACAUUUGCAUAAGUUGAGGCUCUCUUGCAGAAGAUGGUUCAACAAAUUUCAACAAAAUCUCUCUCUUGAACUAUAUUCUGCUUGAAGCAAGGGUUGUCUUCACUUCUUUGGAGGUGUCAUGGAUCAAAUUAAUGAGAAUAACAACUUCACUUUUUGCCCUCAACUUCUCCUCAGUUUGAUUAAGGGCAUUGGUCUUUCUUUUCAUACAAAGCCUUCAAUUUAUUCCAAGUAGCAAAAGCAGUGGUUUCUUCAAUUACCUGCCUCAACACAUUAUCAGGAGUUCUUUUGGAUCUUCUAAAGCUUUCAAAACCUUUUGUGAACUCAAGAUUGCAGUAAUUCUUUUUGUCCACAAGGUAAAGUCUCAAUUCCCAUCAAAAUUUUCAAUUUCAUACUUCGUAAUAGACAUUUUCUUGCUUUUCUUCUGAUGGCUCCAAUACCAGUUCUUGGAAAUAGUAGAAACAAAAGUUUCUCUUUCUUUGUAAAAUCAACCUUGAGACAAGUGUAUUCUUUUUAGGGAAAUUAAAAGUAGAAUUAUCUUUUUACCCUUGCUUUUCUUUCACCUUUUGAACUCCUUUACUAGUUGUCAUUUACUUUUCAUUGUACUUCUUUUGUUCUUUGCAUGGUUCACUGAGGGAGACAAAGAAGAAGGAAUAAGGGUUUCAAAAGGGGGGUUUUUAAGGAAGAUGAAGAGAUGAGAAAAUCAACAAGAUGGAGUUUAUAGUGGUUCAACACAUAGCCUACAUCCACUCUUCAAGAAGGGACAACCAUCAAUUUUAGUGCUGCCGUAGCUGCUGUCGUCGAUGCUCAGAUGAGUGCUGCCAUGGACGAAUUAUUAAGUUGGCUACAGAAAACGUCAGAAAAUAAUUUUUCGUCAUUACCGCAGUCAUUCGCGCCGCCGUCGGACCACCACGCGCCGCCGCUAGACCUCCACGCGCCACCACCGGACCACCACGCGCUUGGUUUUCUUCCUCAAACGGCGCCGACCAUCCCACCUGUCCAACCCUUUUCUUCAUCUGCAGCCUAUAUUGCUCCCCACGCCCCAAUUUAUGUUCUGCCAUCUAAUUCCAAUCGGCCACCACCGCUUCUGCCGUCAAAUCUGUAUGGCCAGCCACCCAAUGAUCCUAGCUACCAUCCGGAUGUUAAAAACUCUCAAAUUCACUCAACAUUUGAGGUUGGUGAAUCUUCGGAAUAUUCCAACCGUAACGUCAAGCUUCCUCGGGAAUAGUUCAUCAACAAUUGGAAGGGCUUCGACAACAGAUAGCAGCACUUGAGGCUACCUUAGGGACGACAUCAACUCUACCGAUGUAUUCUGAGAAUCCGGUAAACUCUUUCCCUAAUGUAUCCUCUCCUUAUGUGACUAAUACGGUGGCUCAGUCUUCCAUGUAUCAUCUUUCAUGAGAAAAGUUGAAUGGCAACAACUAUUUCUCAUGGUCUCAGUCAGUAAAGAUGGUCCUCGAAGGACGACAAAAAUUUAGCUUUCUGACAGGAAAAUACCUCGCCCCCUACCGGGCGACCCACAUGAACGAUAUUGGAAGGCAGAGGACUCUAUUCUUCGAUCCAUAUUGAUCAAUAGUAUGAAACCUCAAAUUUGCAAGCCGUUAUUGUUUGCUGCAACAGCCAAGGAUAUUUGGGACACGGCCCAGACACUUUACUCAAAACGUCAGAAUGCCUCUCGUCUAUACACGCUGAGAAAGCAAGUUCAUGAAUGUAAGCAAGGAACCAUGGAUGUCACAUCCUUUUUCAGUAAGCUUUCUCUUUUAUGGCAAGAAAUGGACCUAUGUAGAGAACUAGUAUGGCGUGAUCCCACUGAUGGUGUACAAUACUCGAGAGUUGAAGAGAAUGACAAAAUUUAUGACUUUCUUGCUGGUCUUAAUCCUAAGUUUGAUGUAGUUCGAUGGCGUAUACUAGGUCAAAGACCGAUUCCCUCCCUAAUGGAAUUUUGCUCUGAAAUUCGCCUCGAGGAAGAUCGCACAAGUGCUAUGAAUAUUUCCGCAAUCCCUACUAUUGACUCUGCUGCUUUUACUGCAAGAUCUUCUAACAGUAGCAGUGACAAGCAUAAUGGAAAACCAAUUCCUGUCUGCGAGCAUUGCAAAAAACAAUGGCAUACCAAAGAACAAUGUUGCAAGUUACAUGGUCGUCCCCCAAGAGGUAAGAAACGCCCUUCCAACGACAAACAGAACACAGGGCGGGCGUAUGUGAGUGAGUCUGCUGAACCUCCUCAACAAUCCGAUCCACACAAAAGCAAACUGAUCUCAGUCUUGCCACUUUAGGUGCCAUUGUCCAAUCAGGACUUGAGCUCGAGGAGGAUGAUUGGCACUGCCCGGCAUAGUAGGGGACUCUACCUCCUUGAUGACGAUACCUCUUCUAGUAGCAUUCCUAGGACUAGUCUCUUAUCUUCCUAUUUCACUACUUUUGAACAAGAUUGUAU